AGUCGAGUGCGCGCCCGUAGCAAUACGGGUGGCGCACGGCGCACGGGUGCGUAACACGUGGGUACCUGCCCUUUGAUGGGGAAUAACCCCGCGAAAGCGGGGCUAAUUCCGCAUAAGAUCCGCAAGGAUGAAAGCCGUAAGGCGUCGAAGGAGGGGCCUGCGCACGAUUAGCUAGUUGGUAGGGUAACGGCCUACCAAGGCUUUGAUCGUUAGCUGGUCUGAGAGGAUGGCCAGCCACACUGGAACUGAGACACGGUCCAGACUCCUACGGGAGGCAGCAGUGGGGAAUCUUGCACAAUGGGCGAAAGCCUGAUGCAGCGACGCCGCGUGGGGGAUGAAGCUUCUCGGAGUGUAAACCCCUUUCGACCCGGACGAAUACCUCGCAAGAGGGGUGACGGUACGGGUAUAAGAAGCCCCGGCUAACUACGUGCCAGCAGCCGCGGUAAGACGUGGGGGGCCAGCGUUGCUCGGAAUUACUGGGUGUAAAGGGUCAGUAGGCGGUGUGGCAAGUCGGGAGUGAAAUCUCUGGGCUUAACUCAGAGACUGCUUCCGAAACUGCUGUGCUUGAGUAUGGGAGAGGCGCGUGGAAUUGCAGGUGUAGCGGUGAAAUGCGUAGAUAUCUGCAGGAACACCCGUGGCGAAAGCGGCGCGCUGGACCAUAACUGACGCUGAAUGACGAAAGCUAGGGGAGCAAACAGGAUUAGAUACCCUGGUAGUCCUAGCCCU
rnacentral:rRNA from 1 species